rnacentral:lncRNA from 1 species
AGGCAGAGGAGCAGGCGUGUGCAGUGGAUAUUCCUGGAACCCAGCGGAAUCUAUCUGAUGAGGCCUAAAAAAUCCUGAUGCUGUACUGGAGAAAACCGAGGCAUGAAAAACUAAGCUGAAAACUUGAACAGUAUUUGUGGGCUUUCCAUACAAGCAAUUUAGUCAAACUCUGCUGUUACACCUUUAUCGAAUUUGGCAACGGUUCAGGAAGUAAAGUAAGUCAGGUUUAAAGCUUUAUUUUUAGUAGGUACGCUCUUUUCCUGCUUACUACAAAAUGAGU